rnacentral:rRNA from 1 species
GGAUGGGCCCGCGGCCGAUUAGCUUGUUGGUGUCGGUAACGGCGCACCAAGGCGACGAUCGGUAGCUGGUCUGAGAGGACGAUCAGCCACACUGGGACUGAGACACGGCCCAGACUCCUACGGGAGGCAGCAGUGGGGAAUCUUGCGCAAUGGGCGAAAGCCUGACGCAGCAACGCCGCGUGGGGGAAGAAGGCCUUCGGGUUGUAAACCUCUUUCAGGAGGGACGAAGCCACCAGGGUUAAUAGCCUAUGGGGUGACGGUACCUUCAGAAGAAGCCCCGGCUAACUACGUGCCAGCAGCCGCGGUAAUACGUAGGGGGCAAGCGUUGUCCGGAAUUAUUGGGCGUAAAGCGCGUGUAGGCGGCUUGGUAAGUCUGGUGUGAAACCUUGGGGCUUAACCCCAAGCCUGCACUGGAUACUGCCUCGCUAGAGUCCGGGAGGGGAGAGCGGAAUUCCCAGUGUAGCGGUGAAAUGCGCAGAUAUUGGGAAGAACACCAGUGGCGAAGGCGGCUCUCUGGAACGGUACUGACGCUGAGACGCGAAAGCGUGGGGAGCGAACAGGAUUAGAUACCCUGGUAGUCCACGCCGUAAACGAUGGGCACUAGAUGUGGGCGGUGUCGACUCCGUCCGUGUCGAAGCUAACGCAUUAAGUGCCCCGCCUGGGGAGUACGGCCGCAAGGCUA